rnacentral:rRNA from 1 species
AUUACUCCUACGGGAGGCAGCAGUAAGGAAUAUUGGUCAAUGGAGGCAACUCUGAACCAGCCAUGCCGCGUGAAGGAUGAAUGCGCUAUGCGUUGUAAACUUCUUUUGGGUGGGAAGAAAACUAUCAAUUUAUUGAUAGCUGACGGUACCAUCAGAAUAAGCACCGGCUAACUCCGUGCCAGCAGCCGCGGUAAUAAU